ensembl:lncRNA
GAAUGUUGGAUGCUCCUGUGUGCAGCCAGGAGUUGGACUCAAUGAUCCUUGUGGGUCCCUCCAACUUGGGCUAUUCUAUGAUUUUAUGACCAAUGCUACAAGCCUUAACAACACUUUUUGUCAAUAGCUACAUGAAAGAUCUUCUCUUCCCUAGCUGGAUGGCCACAUACAAUUCUACAACUGAAAUCUGCCCAGAAAUCAUUUGUCCAGAAAAUCAUCAGCUCUAGCACCGACCGUGACUAGUUCAUUCACGGACCUCUCUCCUUCAUCUGUCAGAUACCAUCUUGUUUCAGAAGAAAUAUUUUAGAUACUUGAGAUCAACCUUCAACUUUGGUGACCUUGUUUGUCUUGGCCUUCUAAUCCUGAUCCGAGUGCAGCGUGAAGCGAUCUCAGAAACAUUGGCAGUUGUCUGGGCUAACGUGUGGAAGACACGUGAAGAAUUGCUCGACUGGAAAGGUGAAAUCUGAAUGUAUAACUGUGUAUAAAUGGGGGAAAAAUGAACUGUAAAUUUAUAGACAAGUCAACUUCUCUUCAUAUCCUAGAAAAAAAGAUAACAAGAAGAAUGGCAGCAAGGAUGAAUUUGCCAAGGAGAUUCCUUGUCCAAUCAAUCUAAUUUUCUUCGUGAAAGAAUAAAAGGUUUUGUUG